rnacentral:rRNA from 1 species
UUUGGAUUAUGGCUCAGAUUGAACGCUGGCGGAUGUUUUUACACAUGCAAGUCGAACGGCAGCACGGACUUCGGUCUGGUGGCGAGUGGCGAACGGGUGAGUAAUGUAUCGGAACGUGCCUAGUAGCGGGGAUAACUACGCGAAAGCGUAGCUAAUACCGCAUACGCCCUUCGGGGAAAGCGGGGACCUUCGGCCCCGCACUAUUAGAGCGGCCGAUAUCGGAUUAGCUAGUUGGUGGGGUAACGGCUCACCAAGGCGACGAUCCGUAGCUGGUCGGAGAGGACGACCAGCCACACUGGGACUGAGACACGGCCCAGACUCUACGGGAGGCAGCAGUGGGGGAAUUUUGGACAAUGGGGGAAACCCUGAUCCAGCCAUCCCGCGUGUGCGAUGAAGGCCUUCGGGUUGUAAAGCACUUUGGCAGGAAAAGAAACGGCAUCGGAUAAUAAUUCCCCGUGCAACUGACGGUACCUGCAGAAUAAGCACCGGCUAACUACGUGCCAGCAGCCGCGGUAAUACGUAGGGUGCAAGCGUUAAUCGGAAUUACUGGGCGUAAAGCGUGCGCAGGCGGUUCGGAAAGAAAGAUGUGAAAUCCCAGGGCUUAACUUUGGAACUGCAUUUUUAACUACCGAGCUAGAGUGUGUCAGGAGGGAGGUGGAAUUCCGCGUGUAGCAGUGAAAUGCGUAGAUAUGCGGAGGAACACCGAUGGCGAAGGCAGCCUCCUGGGAUAACACUGACGCUCAUGCACGAAAGCGUGGGGAGUAAACAGGAUUAGAUACCCUGGUAGUCCACGCCCUAAACGAUGCCAACUAGCCGUUGGGGCUCUUCGGGCCUGGUAGCGCAGCUAACGCGUGAAGUUGACCGCCUGGGGAGUACGGUCGCAAGAUUAAAACUCAAAGGAAUUGAUUUUGGGACCUGCACAAGCGGUGGAUGAUGUGGAUUAAUUCGAUGCAACGCGAAAACCUUACCUACCCUUGAUAUGUCUGAAUCCUGAAGAGAUUUAGAGUGCUCGCAAGAGAAUCCGGAACACAGGUGCUGCAUGGCUGUCGUCAGCUCGUGUCGUGAGAUGUUGGGUUAAGUCCCGCAACGAGCGCAACCCCUUGUCAUUAGUUGCUACGAAAGGGCACUCUAAUGAGACUGCCGACAACCGGAGGAAGGUGGGGAUGACGUCAAGUCCUCAUGGCCCUUAUGGGUAGGGCUUCACACGUCAUACAAUGGUCGGGACAGAGGGUCGCCAACCCGCGAGGGGGAGCCAAUCCCAGAAACCCGAUCGUAGUCCGGACGCAGUCUGCAACCUCGGACCGCGUGAAGUCGGAAUCGCUAGUAAUCGCGGAUCAGCAUGUCGCGGUGAAUACGUUCCCGGGUCUUGUACACACCGCCCGUCACACAUGGGAGUGGGUUUUACCAGAAGUAGUUAGCCUAACCGUAAGGAGGGCGAUUACCACGGUAGGAUUCAUGACUGGGGUGAAGUCGUAAAUAAAGGUAG